UACAGAGGGGGCAAGCGUUAUUCGGAAUUAUUGGGCGUAAAGGGCGCGUAGGCGGCCGGACAAGUGGAAGGUGAAAUCCCCGAGCUCAACUCGGGAACUGCCCUCCAAACUGUUUGGCUUGAGUCCGGGAGAGGUGAGUGGAAUUCCCAGUGUAGCGGUGAAAUGCGUAGAUAUUGGGAGGAACACCAGUGGCGAAGGCGGCUCACUGGACCGGAACUGACGCUGAGGCGCGAAAGCGUGGGGAGCAAACAGG
rnacentral:rRNA from 1 species